rnacentral:lncRNA from 1 species
GGUGGCGCGAGCUUUGGCACUGAGGAGCGUCAUCAAUGCGCGUGGUGGGGAUGGGCUGAUGUUUGGAUUUGGUGAUCUUAAUGAGCUUUUCCAACCUGAAUGAUGCUAUGACCGAGCCGCCACGUGGUCACCAGUUUUACUUCAGAACUGUGUUGAAAGAGCGAAGGCUCAGUACCUGCCCCACUUCAGAUCUUCUACGUGACCAGCUGGAAAUUUCAUGAAUCACAGGUGAGACCUGCACAGAGAGCUUCUGCAACAGUUUCAUUUGGAGAUCUGGCAAAAAUAGAGGAACUUGUUAGAAGAGGAGCAAAAUAGUCCUUCAUCAGUACUAAAAGCUAUCUUGAAGCUCUUAUUAAACUGCCAGUGCAGAUAGUCUCCACUUCUACUAUUUUGUUACAACACUUUGAAACUAUAAUCUGCACACAGCAAGGAAUGUGAAUGCCUGUGCUACAUCAGUUGUGUAAAAUAGCAUUCAUUUCUUUUUCUAGAGAAGUACUGUUAGCAGUAUUCUAAGUAGUACAUGCUCUCCCAGUUUGAUUAAAGUGCUAUUCUCAAAUGUAAAGCCUCUUUCAGUGUUUCAGUAGGACAGACUGCUCCAGGUAUGAUUUGCAAGUCUUGAACAUGCAUCACCCUGUAUUUUCAAAGUAUUCCUGAGGGAUGGUAGGUCAUAAUAAACAACACUACUUGCUGACAAAUAAAUUCAAGUCAUACUAUAAGAGAAUAUUGUUGAAUACACAGUUCUGACCGACUUAAUAUGGUUUCUGUCUGUUGGAAAUAAUGGUUAAAAAGAUACGGUCAGUUAACAUCUGAAAGUUGAAUGUUUGACUUGUGUAAAAGGAAGUGAUUAAAUAAGUCCUGUAGAAAUAUAUUUAGUUCAUACUUCAUACCUGCAACAGACAAAUUCAAUUCUCCUUCCGCUUGCAAAUACAAAAAUAAUUGUUUCUGAACGUGAAGUAGGAUAGGGUAGCCACAGAGAAGGCUGAGGCUUCAUUCCACCUUUAACAGAAUGUGUCAUGAUUUGACUGAAGUUUACUGAAAGAAGUAGCAAGCAGAAAAGUCAGCUAGCACACAAAUAGACUUGUGCCCUUCAAACUAAUGAGCUUACCAGUGGCAUUCUCUGGAAUUGGUGCUCUUUUGGAAUUGCGAGGAACUUUUAUACCAGUUGUAUGUUGUUGUGCUUAAAGGUAAGUUAAAUCACGUUUCCAAACUUUCUGCUUUUCUGUUUUUUAGGGGCUGAAAAUCAUGAAGUUAAUUUUCUACCUCCAUACCUA